UACGCAGGGUGCAAGCGUUAAUCGGAAUUACUGGGCGUAAAGCGUGCGCAGGCGGUUUUGUAAGUCUGUCGUGAAAUCCCCGGGCUCAACCCGGGAAUUGCGUUGGAGACUGCAAGGCUAGAAUCUGGCAGAGGGGGGUAGAAUUCCACGUGUAGCAGUGAAAUGCGUAGAGAUGUGGAGGAACACCGAUGGCGAAGGCAGCCCCCUGGGUCAAGAUUGACGCUCAUGCAC
rnacentral:rRNA from 1 species